rnacentral:rRNA from 1 species
GAUGAACGCUGGCGGCGUGCCUAAUACAUGCAAGUCGAGCGAACAGACGAGAAGCUUGCUUCUCUGAUGUUAGCGGCGGACGGGUGAGUAACACGUGGGUAACCUACCUAUAGGACUGGGAUAACUCCGGGAAACCGGGGCUAAUACCGGAUAAUAUUUUGAACCGCAUGGUUCGAUAGUGAAAGACGGUUUCGGCUGUCACUUAUAGAUGGACCCGCGCCGUAUUAGCUAGUUGGUAAGGUAACGGCUUACCAAGGCGACGAUACGUAGCCGACCUGAGAGGGUGAUCGGCCACACUGGGACUGAGACACGGUCCAGACUCCUACGGGAGGCAGCAGUAGGGAAUCUUCCGCAAUGGGCGAAAGCCUGACGGAGCAACGCCGCGUGAGUGAUGAAGGUCUUCGGAUCGUAAAACUCUGUUGUUAGGGAAGAACAAAUUUGUUAGUAACUGAACAAGUCUUGACGGUACCUAACCAGAAAGCCACGGCUAACUACGUGCCAGCAGCCGCCGUAA